UAGUCCACGCCGUAAACGAUGUCAACUAGCCGUCGGGUCCAUUUAAGGAUUUGGUGGCGCAGCUAACGCGAUAAGAUGACCGCCUGGGGAGUACGCCGGCAACGGUAAAACUCAAAGGAAUUGACGGGGGCCCGCACAAGCGGUGGAGCAUGUGGUUUAAUUCGAUGCAACGCGAAGAACCUUACCUACCCUUGACAUCCUCAGAACUUGUUAGAGAUAACUUGGUGCCUUCGGGAAUUGAGUGACAGGUGCUGCAUGGCUGUCGUUAGCUCGUGUCGUGAGAUGUUGGGUUAAGUCCCGCAACGAGCGCAACCCUUGUCUUUAGUUGCCAUCAUUAAGUUGGGCACUUUAAAGAGACUGCCGGUGACAAACCGGAGGAAGGUAAGGAUGACGUCAAGUCAGCAUGCCCCUUAUGCUCUGGGCUACACACGUGCUACAAUGGCCGUGACAAAGAGUUGCUACUUUGUGAAAACAAGCUAAUCUCAUAAACGCGGCCUCAGUUCGGAUUGC
rnacentral:rRNA from 1 species